rnacentral:rRNA from 1 species
AGCUCCAAUAGCGUAUAUUAAUGUUGCUGCAGUUAAAAAGCUCGUAGUUGGAUUUGUGGCGCGGCCGUCCGGCGGGGGCUCUUCACUGAGCCCGUUUGUCCUGGUUUUCGGCCGCUCCUUUCUCGGGUAGCGUGUGGCUGGCAUUAGGUUGUUGGCUGCUUCGCGCCCGUCUUUUACUGUGAAAAAAUUAGAGUGUUCAAAGCAGGCUUAGGCCGUUGGAUACAUUAGCAUGGAAUAAUAAGAUAGGGCCACGACGGUCUAUUUUGUUGGUUUGCACGUUGUGGUAAUGGUUAACAGGAAUAGUUGGGGGUAUUCGUAUUCAAUUGUCAGAGGUGAAAUUCUUGGAUUUGUGGAAGACGAACUACUGCGAAAGCAUUUACCAAGGAUGUUUUCAUUAAUC